rnacentral:hammerhead_ribozyme from 1 species
GCACUGCCGCGGAGUCCCAACAACAGGACGAAACGGCCGUCCAGUGC